rnacentral:rRNA from 1 species
ACGGGGGGAACGCGAAGAACCUUACCUGGCCUUGACAUGGUAGGAACCCUUAAGAGAUUAGGGGGUGCUAGCUUGCUAGAACCUACACACAGGUGCUGCACGGCUGUCGUCAGCUCGUGUCGUGAGAUGUUGGGUUAAGUCCCGCAACGAGCGCAACCCUCGUCUUUAGUUGCUAACAGUUUGGCUGAGCACUCUAAAGAGACUGCCUUCGUAAGGAGGAGGAAGGUGAGGACGACGUCAAGUCAUCAUGGCCCUUACGGCCAGGGCUACACACGUGCUACAAUGGGGCGUACAAAGAGCUGCAAUACCGCGAGGUGGAGCCAAUCUCUUAAAGCGUCUCUCAGUUCGGAUUGUUCUCUGCAACUCGAGAACAUGAAGCUGGAAUCACUAGUAAUCGUAGAUCAGCUAGCU